GCAGCUUGAGGAAGUCCUUCCCUGACUUUCUUCCUUUUUUACCACCAUGAGCAGAGAGCGGAGCUGCACCUCGUUACCUCUGCAAACUAAGACGCUUGUAUCAUGUACAGACUGCGUUACAAAGGUAGGCAAUUGUUGUAGAACUUAACAUUCUUCAACAGCUAUUUUUAGUAGUAUUUCGAGGACAUUUUUAGGCGAAUUAGCUCUAGCUGCGUGACACGUUGGCUUCAUGUUAGCUAGCGGCUAGCGCUAGCUCAUACCCUCACCACGUGGGAGUAAGCUUUUUGGUUUGGCACUGUAUCUGGAUUAUACUGACUCUUAGUCCACUGUAAUUUAAAUAUUAACUGUUUCAUGCACAUUCAGAGUUAUAGUUUUGGGUAAAAUGUGUUCUUCUCGUGUGAUCACGAAAGCUCAUCAUCGAAAACACGUGUAGGUUAGGGCUGGGCGAUAUGGACCAAAAGUCAUAUUCCCAUAUACUGAGGCUGAAUAUCGAUAUGAUAUAUUUCCCGAUAUUGUUAUUGCAAAGUGAGAGCAGAUGUUUAGUCACAAUCAAGGCAAAUAUGAGAUGUCACAAGUAGUUCUAUUUAAACUGGCCAGAUGAAAUUAUGUUCAGCUGUUCAACGGACAAUAAAGUGGAAACAUAACUACUGUAUAACCACAGGAGUCCCUAUUUUUCUUUUAAAUUGUCACUCUAUAAGGUACACAUUUAAAUGAAAAAUAUGUCUUAAAUAAAAAUAGCCCCUAAAGUAAAAUAAGCCGAUCUUUUUCUGAAAUAAAUUUAUUUAUAUGAGAAAAGCAUCAACAUUUUGACAACUAUAAAUGACCUAUUAAAGUCAAAUAGCAGAUUUUUAUCUUCUCUCUAACAAAUCCACAGAUGCAAACGACGAAAACUACAAAAGAAUUAAAUAUGACAAAACCUAGUAAGGGCAGCACUUGUAUGUAUAAAGACAGAACAAAAUGAAGUGCUCAGUUUUAAGAAAAUUGUUCUGAAACAUCAUUUUGAGAUUACCUAUCUUUCUUUCUUAUUUUCUUUACAGUCUCAACCAGCUGCACAAGACUGACAGAUUAUGAACUCAAACAUUUCCCCCUCUCUCUUUUUUUACUUUGAUAAACAGUUUGUGCUGUCUUGAGGCAGACAUUAGAGGACAGACAAGUGUGUCCUUCUUUGUUUAAAGAUUUUGUGCGAGAAACACCAACCUGUCAACAACAGCAUCUGAUAUCUGUAUAUCAAUAUAUGUGAAAUGGUCCAAUUCCACAUCUCAUUUAAAAAUAUAUCGAUAUAUCGCCUAGUCCUAGUGUAGGUUGUGGUGUAAAUGCAAAUCAGGGAUCAGCAUAUACUUUACUAUUCCCACAAAAGUCAUACAGGGAAGUUAUGCGGCACAUUCAAUCACCACUAUGCAAAUAUCUGGUAAAAUGAUCGCCAUUACUAAUCGAUAUGUCUCUUUCUUUAACAACGGACUUGUCUCAUCCUUUAACUAAUGCAAUAAAUCAUUUCCAGGACAGUUCAAAGAAAGAAAAAGCACCCCAUGUGUCAGUCAUAUUCAUGCAACUCUGUCCAUAUCUGGUUCAGUUCAGGGGUCAUCGGAAAAUCUGCUGGUCAGGGAAUAACCGCCUCCUAUUACUCAAGUAGAGAAAGUCCUCAGUCCUCCUCUGAGGGCCUGAGGUCAUGGCAGAGGUCGUGACCUGCUGUUGAACCCGUCCUCAAACCUGCAGUGUUAGCCAUGCUCCCAAGCUGUGUUACACUGCACCCUUUGACCUCAAGGUGAUCAGUCAUCUUUGGUCAUCAUAUUGGCUUUUCUUGAGUACGUCUUAUUAACACAAGUUGGGAAUCAAUAGAUCACUCCAGAGUGCAAUUAGCUGUGUGGAUUGGCAAAGUUAGUGUUCAGAUCCCAUGGGAAACCAUAGCAAUUGAAGGUGAUCACUUUCUCAAAACCUGAAUCCUGCUUAAACUAAUUUUGCUAUUAAACAUUUUUGUUUUAAUAGAUAUGCAGACGAAGAAGACAAACCUGAACCAUAAUGGGAUCCCCUGACGAGGUAUGAGUCAGUUCAAAUAAAAAAAAAAGUUAUGAAUGAACUUGAAAGAUUGUGGGGGAAAAAAAAUACAUUUUCCUUUUUUAAUUUCAGAUGUCAGGAUACCACUGUAUUCUACAGAUGGACAGUGUUGAUCUUCUCAGUGUGGACAUGAAGGUAAGCCUCAUCUGUUCAGCUGUUUUUGGUUGUGAUUUUGACAUGAGGCUGUCCUUAGCUGGAAUAGUGAUGAUUCUACAUUUUUGCCGUUUACCCAUCAGACUAUAAGAUGGUGACACUGUGACUAACUGAAAAACCAGCACAAUAAGAUCAGCCUGAACUAGUUAUUAAAUAUAGAAAAUCAGUCAUUCUGUAAAUGAUUAAAAUUAAUGUCAAUUGUUAUUUCUUGUUUACCCUCCCUGGCUCCAGAUGUCGAGCAGUGGUCACAGAUGAUGCACAGGGUGUACAGCGAUGUCUCAUGUUUAGUGCAAGGUGAGUUCCUUACUCUACUGUUUAGAAAUGCCAUGUUUUUUGUUUUUUUUUUCUGUGUAAAUAACAUUUUCAUAUCAACGUUUUAAAGUGAAAGUAGAUGAGAACAACAGAAAAUAACACAAUUCAGUUGAAAAAGAAAGCAUUUACUGUGGUAGUUUAACUGAAGACCAAAAAAAAAAGUUUUGGUGCUGGAAUAAGGAUGAUUUCACCUUCUUUUCGCCGUUUACCCAUCAGACAACAGGGUGGUGAGACUGUGAUUUUCUGAAUUACCAGCUGCAACUUUGCCUUAACUCUUAUCUGUAUCAUACCAUUUAGGAAUAUUAUUUUAACUCAAGUUGAACAACAAUUGUUGUCUGUAGGUGGGAAAUGUUAACUUGAUGCAUGGAAAUGGACUAACUCUGAGGUCUUCCAUAUCCUUAACAGGAGAGCAUUAAAAGCAGCAAUGGGACAGAAACAGACUGUAUUUGCUUCAUGUAACCAGUGGUAAGUCAGCCACAUGUUUUAUUAGUUUUCCUAAGAUUUUUUUUUUAAUGCCUUGAUCAAAGAAGUAAUGAUGAGUUCACUUUUCGCCGUUUACCCAUCAGACCAAAAUGGGCUGCUGAGAAUGUGACCAACUGAACCCAGAAAGAUUUAAUUUUUUUAACAAACAAUGCUCAUCAGCAAUUUGACACUCAAAUUGAUUUUUUUUUUUUUUUUUAAAUAAUUUUCAAGGCUACAGAAGAUUGACUGCUGAGGAGACAAAUGACUAAAUGAAAGGUAAGUGCCCAAAAUAUUUUUGGCCAUCAUUCUAUUAAGCACAUCUAGAAAAUUAAUUUUUUGUUGUUGUUGUUUGUUGUCCUAAUUGUUCUUGUUUUUCACAUUUGUUACAGUGGAGUUGAAGCUGGUGGAUCAACAUUCAGAGGAUCUGAAGAUGUUCCUUUUUAAGAUCGCUUCAAUCACCAUUAAAAUAUGUUUUAUGAACUUUACCAGCACAUCUGUGUGUUUCUGAUGUUGAAUUUUCUAAGAUCAAACAACACCGCAUUAAAUGAAAUUAAGGGUGAUUUUAAAAAAACUUUUUGAUUAGUUUUCAGCCAAACCGAGAAAUAAAGCAAUACUUCAGUGACAAAUUGA
rnacentral:lncRNA from 1 species